GAUGAACGCUGGCGGCGUGCCUAAUACAUGCAAGUCGAGCGAACAGACGAGGAGCUUGCUCCUCUGACGUUAGCGGCGGACGGGUGAGUAACACGUGGAUAACCUACCUAUAAGACUGGGAUAACUUCGGGAAACCGGAGCUAAUACCGGAUAAUAUAUUGAACCGCAUGGUUCAAUAGUGAAAGACGGUUUUGCUGUCACUUAUAGAUGGAUCCGCGCCGCAUUAGCUAGUUGUAAGGUAACGGCUUACCAAGGCAACGAUGCGUAGCCGACCUGAGAGGGUGAUCGGCCACACUGGAACUGAGACACGGUCCAGACUCCUACGGGAGGCAGCAGUAGGGAAUCUUCCGCAAAGGGCGAAAGCCUGACGGAGCAACGCCGCGUGAGUGAUGAAGGUCUUCGGAUCGUAAAACUCUGUUAUUAGGGAAGAACAAAUGUGUAAGUAACUAUGCACGUCUUGACGGUACCUAAUCAGAAAGCCACGGCUAACUACGUG
rnacentral:rRNA from 1 species